CAGGUGCAAAAAGUGUCAAUAAUAAUAAUAAUAAUUUGAUAUAUACUAUAAAAUACUAAAAAGAAUAAGCUGUCAUCCAUUUUUUUUUCUCCUCUCUCUCUCUCUCUCACCUCACCUCACCCUCACCUCUCCAUUCUAUCUCUAGAAUAGCUUCUCUCUCCGAAAUGGAAGAACCGACGCACCUUCCUUUCUCCUACUCUCAAGCUCAAUAAUUUUUUUGUUCCUCUCUUUCCUUCAAAGUCACAGUAAUAACUCGGCGACAAGGGACGUAUUUUUGGACGGUAGCAGUACGAGGACCUCCUUGACGACGAUCGACGAGAGCUUCGUCCACCAGGACGACGAAUCAACAUCCUCCGCUCCCGCCGCCGUGGAUCGUCUUUCCCCCUCUCCCACCACUAUCCCCACCAGCAGCAACAAACUUAGAAAGGCACAAAUUUCGAAACCAAAAGUUGCUUAUUACACCAGCAGUACAAAUGGCCACUGGUGGUAUUAUUUUUGGGGGAAACCGGUCUGGGUUAAUCAGUUGGAAGUGAACCGCUAUUUUUAAUUUUUGACGUGUCGCGAAUCCAGCGUCCCAGCCUACCACGCUUCGGCCUAGGAUAGACAUUUCCGUGUUGUGGCAUACCUCAAAUCAAUCAGUCAUGUCACACAAAAUCUAAAUAUCAACUCCUGAAAUUCAAAACGUGUUUGAGAUAAUGAUUUAUCAUUCCGCCCCCGCACGCACAGCCCUAAACCAAUCUGCAUAAAAAUAAUUCGAAAAUAAUGAAAUUAGUGCCAGGUCCAAUUUCACUAUAUUCCUGACAUGUUAAUUGAGAUCCCAAUAAAAGAAGAAAUAUAUAUCUAAUUCUUUCGACAAUCGGACGGACAAUUUAAGUUAACAAACAAAUAAAGAAAUUAGAGCUUACUUUAUUCAAUUAAUUUCAUUUGAUAUUUUGAUCUAACAAUAUAAGCAGAUUUGUGCCGACUGCCGACAUGAUAGAAAGACGAAAAAACGACUUAAGAAUUCACCACAUAACAUUCAAACCAAAAUGAAAUUAAUACUAAAAAAUACUUUCUUUACUAAAAGACUCACAACGACUUUAUCAAUGAUUAGUAGUGAAUCAAAAUAUCAUUAUUGAAUAUAAUUGCAAAAUGUGUCCCAUCACGGAAAAUGUAAGCUCACGUAAGUAGAAUUAUCAAUCAUUACCAAUGUACUGUCCAAAAGACUCCAAAUUAAAUGAAGCGCAUAUAAAUCAAAUCUUUCUAUGGUCAACCUGACUUUUAAGGGUGAAACAACACUACCAGAUCUCCAAUAUCCACACCAAUAACAAAAUCAAGCGCAAUUUUGAAACGACAAAAAAAAAUGGUUUAAGAGGGCCUAAAAUCAGGGGAUGCUAAUGCUCCCCCCAGCACCCCCUGAAUCUGAGUGAGGAAAAAUAUACUUAUUAACAAUAACGUGCAUGAAUGAAGUAAGAUGAGAAAAAUAGAAAGAGAAAUCGGAUAAAAUGUACUAGUGUUAAUGGUAGCUAUCACAUAUGAUCUGUGGCAGCACAGUGAGAAGCAUGAGUUGCCACUUAACGUAGCAACAACCAGGUGUAGAGCACUGCCCUUGUUUUUCGGCUAUAGUCAACCAAGUUUCUCAUUUCCACCCACAAAUUUUAUUUAUUUAUUUAUUAUCUUUUGUUAAUAAUUCCAUUACUUUUCUGAUUUAAGAAUAUCUCUCAUUUCCAAAAAUAGAUCUCCUAACUCAUUUUGGCACUCCUAGAGUUAAAGGUCGAAUUCAAUACCUGGUUUUUGUCGUCUCUGCUCGACUCAUUUGCACCCCUUAUUGAUACAAGACAAAGACGCAAAGAAAGCAAGUGAUGCGGCCUGUUGCCAUGCAAACAGAUUCGCGAGCCCCUGAAAUGACAAGCAGAAACAUUGUGGAAGAGAGAUCUUGUGGGAUAUAGAUAGAUCUUGAAAAGAUUGGUGAUAAACACAUGUUUGGCAUUAGAUAUGGAUCGAUCACCAUCAGAUGUUUUCUCGUGCCAAAGGCAAAAGGUGGCCAACUUGCACCACCACCACUUAGCAAACAAUUUCUAGCCUGCAUCAUGAGAUUGAAGAUGUUAGUUCACAGCCAGCGUGCCUACUUGUCAGUUAAUGGACCAUCAACUACUAUACUCACUUGACACGACAAUUUCACGUAUAAAAUUAAUAAAUAAAUAAAUAUACAAAUCCAAUAUAUAUUUUCAAAGUUCAAUCACCAUGCUACCUCUUGUUCCUCAAAUUCCAUAUAUAGAAAUGAAAUUAUGGUGGAAAUGUAAUUUAACACUUAGCAAGUAAUGUAAGUGAGCACA
rnacentral:lncRNA from 1 species